GUGUGUUUAUGUUUUGCAACCUCAUGUCUGAAUUUGUUGUAGAGGACGGUGAAGAUUGGUAUUUGCGCUGCCGACCAUCCUGCUAUAUCACCACCCGUAUUCUGAGUAC
rnacentral:snoRNA from 1 species